rnacentral:rRNA from 1 species
GACGAACGCUGGCGGCGUGCUUAACACAUGCAAGUCGAACGGAAAGGCCCUGCUUUUGUGGGUUGCUCGAGUGGCGAACGGGUUAGUAACACGUGAGUAACCUGCCCUUGACUUUGGGAUAACUUCAGGAAACUGGGGCUAAUACCGGAUAGGAGCUCCUGCUGCAUGGUGGGGGUUGGAAAGUUUCGGCGGUUGGGGAUGGACUCGCGGCUUAUCAGCUUGUUGGUGGGGUAGUGGCUUACCAAGGCUUUGACGGGUAGCCGGCCUGAGAGGGUGACCGGCCACAUUGGGACUGAGAUACGGCCCAGACUCCUACGGGAGGCAGCAGUGGGGAAUAUUGCACAAUGGGCGGAAGCCUGAUGCAGCAACGCCGCGUGCGGGAUGACGGCCUUCGGGUUGUAAACCGCUUUCGCCUGUGACGAAGCGUGAGUGACGGUAAUGGGUAAAGAAGCACCGGCUAACUACGUG